rnacentral:rRNA from 1 species
CCUACGGGAGGCAGCAGUCGAGAAUCAUUCACAAUGGGGGAAACCCUGAUGGUGCGACGCCGCGUGGGGGAAUGAAGGUCUUCGGAUUGUAAACCCCUGUCAUGUGGGAGCAAAUUAAAAAGAUAGUACCACAAGAGGAAGAGACGGCUAACUCUGUGCCAGCAGCCGCGGUAAUACAGAGGUCUCAAGCGUUGUUCGGAAUCACUGGGCGUAAAGAGUGCGUAGGCUGUUUCGUAAGUCGGGUGUGAAAGGCGCGGGCUCAACCCGCGGACGGCACAUGAUACUGCGAGACUAGAGUAAUGGAGGGGGAACAGGAAUGCGCGGUGUAGCAGUGAAAUGCGUAGAUAUCGAGAGGAACACUCGUGGCGAAGGCGGGUUCCUGGACAUUAACUGACGCUGAGGCACGAAGGCCAGGGGAGCGAAAGGGAUUAGAUACCCCAGUAGUC